rnacentral:rRNA from 1 species
UUCGCCAGGGAACAACGAGCCCCAGCUUAAAACCCAAAGGACUUGGCGGUGCUUUAGACCCCCCUAGAGGAGCCUGUUCUAGAAUCGAUACUCCCCGUUCAACCUCACCCCCUCUUGUUUUUCCCGCCUAUAUACCGCCGCCGUCAGCUCACCCUGUGAAGGAAUAAUAGUAAGCAAGAUUGGUUUAACCCAAAACGUCAGGUCAAGGUGUAGCGUACGAGGGGGGAAGAAAUGGGCUACAUUUGCUGAAACAGCAAACACGGACAUUGCACUGAAAUCGAGCAUUCGAAGGAGGAUUUAGCAGUAAGGUGGAAAUAGAGUGCCCCCCUGAAACUGGCCCUGAAGCGCGCACACACCGCCCGUCACUCUCCCCGCGAACGAUAAUAAAUAAAUAAUAGGACACCCGCAAAUUAAGGGGAGGCAAGUCGUAACAUGGUAAGUAUACCGGAAGGUGUACUUGGAAAACC